rnacentral:rRNA from 1 species
UACGUAGGGUGCAAGCGUUAAUCGGAAUUACUGGGCGUAAAGCGUGCGCAGGCGGUUGUGGAAGGCAGGUGUGAAAUCCCCGGGCUUAACCUGGGAACUGCACUUGUGACUGCACGGCUGGAGUACGGCAGAGGGGGAUGGAAUUCCGCGUGUAGCAGUGAAAUGCGUAGAUAUGCGGAGGAACACCGAUGGCGAAGGCAGUCCCCUGGGCCUGUACUGACGCUCAUGCACGAAAGCGUGGGGAGCAAACAGG